UGUGAUACUGCAAUAUCUGGUAUGGAUCCAAUACCAAGUAAAUAGAGGGGCCGGUAUCACCAAUACAAUUCUAACACUUAUUAAUAAUUAAAGUGGAUACAUCAUCAAAUUGCUAAAUCUGAAUGAAUUUUCAUGACCUUUAAGUGCUUUUGUGAUUUUGUUUUCCUUUUG